GCUUAACUUAUUAGCUGUUUUUACAAUAUAUCUUAAAGAUUUAUUACCUUAUUAAAUUGAGUGAAACAAAACAUUUAAAAUCUUAGUAAAGGUGAAAGAACAUUAGAAUUUAAUACUUAAUAAGUACUGUGAAGGAAUAGAAUAUAAUUAAUAUAAAGUAGAAAUUUAAUUUCGUACCUUUUGCAUCAUGGUUUAGCUAGAGUUUAAUCUAAAAUUUAGAUUUCUCGAAACCUAAUGAGCUACUUUAAGUCUUUUUUUAGAAAAAAUUUGGUAAUUGUGGCAAAAAUUUCUUAAGAACUUAAAGUAGAUGUGAAAUUUUAUUCGCAUUAGUUGAUAGCUAGUUUCUCCUAAAAUAUAUAAAAGUAUACUAGAUUUUUUAUUUUUUUGGAAAUUUUAAGAUCUAAAAAUUUAAAAUAUAGAAAGGUUUUAGAGGAUUAGCUCUAAAACUUAAAUAAUUAAAGUUAUACAAAUUUUUUUUAAAAUAUAUGCUUGUAAAUAGCUUUAAUGUAUGAGUUUGUUAUAAUUCAUUAAGUCUAUAAAAAUAUAAUUAAUCUAUUUUAGUAAAGGGAGAAGAACUUAUAAACUUUUAUAAGUUGAUAUUAUGCUAAAAUGAGUAUUCUAAACUUUUUAUGGUAAAACUAUACAUUUAAUAUAGUUUUUAAAAAUUGGUUAAUGAUUUAAAAUUUUAAAAAGGAACUCGGCAAAUACUUGUUCUGCCUGUUUAUCAAAAACAUGGCUCUGUGGUAUAUAAAUAUACAGAGUCGGACCUGCCCAGUGAAUUGUUUUUAACGGCCGCGGUACUCUGACCGUGCAAAGGUAGCAUAAUCAUUUGCCCUAUAAUUGAGGGCUAGUAUGAAUGGUUUGACAAGAACAAAGCUGUCUCUAUAAAAUUAAUUAGAAUUUAAUCUUUAGGUGAAGAAGCCUAAAUUGAAUUGAUAGACAAGAAGACCCUAUCGAGCUUUAAAUAAAUAUUUAAAAGAUAAAAAAUUAAUUAAUAUUUUUAAUUAAAUUACAUUUUAGUUGGGGCGACUUAGGAACAAAUAAAGCUUCUUUAUAUACUAAAGACUUUUAAGUGUUGAUCCAAAAUUUUUGAUUAAAAGAAUUAGUUACCGUAGGGAUAACAGCAUAAUCUUUUUUGAGAGCUCUUAUCGAAAAAAAGGUUUGUGACCUCGAUGUUGGACUAAAGUAUCCUGAAGAUGCAGAAGUCUUCAAGGGUUGGUCUGUUCGACCAUUAAAACUUUACAUGAUCUGAGUUCAGACCGGCGUGAGCCAGGUCAGUUUCUAUCUUCAAUUGUUAAAUUUAUGCUUAGUACGAAAGGACCAGCUUAAAAUAAUAAUUAUUAUUUAUGAUUUAAUAUAAUUGAUAAAUAAGUAUUAUAAAUCGAAUUAGCAAAAUAAAUGCAAU
rnacentral:rRNA from 1 species